rnacentral:misc_RNA from 1 species
UCUCCGUUGGUGAACCAGCGGAGGGAUCAUUACAGGAUUCGCAAGAACUCCCGUAACCACUGUGAACCUUACCUUCUGUUGCCUCGGCGGGUGCUCCGGCUCGCUCCGGAGCGCUACGCCCGCCGGCGGCACACAACUCUUGUCUCUUGCGUUGGCAUCUCCGAGCAAACAAAAACGAGUCAAAACUUUUAACAACGGAUCUCUUGGUUCUGGCAUCGAUGAAGAACGCAGC